CUUGAAGAAGUAGAAUGCCAAUAUGUGGGUUAUGGUCUAUCCAGAAGAGCUUCCUUACUUAAUACUCAUGAAAAUUAAUUUCCUGAAUCCUGAGAAAAUGUCAACUAUUCUUAUCAAUCUAUAUUUAUGUGUCUGGAAAUGUUACACUGAAUGACAGACAGUGUGACUGGCACAGGGAAUACAUAGCAACAUGGUCAAAUUAUCCUGGAUCGUUUAGGUGCCAUUACAAUGUGCUCACCCUGAGUCAAGAUUGUCAUUGGCUUUGUACCCGGCUGUGUCCCCAGUACCACUUGGCAUGUAAU